GCGUCUGGGUGAAGCAACUGACAAGGUGGCUGGGAACCAGAGCAUUGAGAACAGAGACCGCAGGGAAACAGAAAGAAAGGGAGAUGCUUUGGGAAAAUGGAAGGACAGUAAAGUGACUACAAUCAGCAUCUCUGCAAACCCAGUGAGAAUGACUAUGGUUAGACAAGAAGGCUGGAAUGAGAAGUUUGAGGGUGGGAGGCAGACUGGGUCAGCAUGGAACAUCAGAAGGAAAGAGCACAAUUUUCUUGAAAUAUAAGCAAAAGAAAAAGUGAGGAUGGAGCAAGACCUCACAGGGACACCCAGUUCAACUCCCUUCCAAAGGCAGAAUCAACUAUACUGGCUCCUCUACAGCACGAUGUAUAUUUGCUGGUUUUUCUCCUUCCCAUGGCCCCACACCGAGAAGCUAAAUUAGGAUGCACAUUUCCAAUACAGACCUAAACAAAGAACAAGAGAGACAGUGCUCUUUGCUCCUGGAACAGCAGCAGGGGACGCCUGCACCAAGCAGGUAUGAGAACAACAGCAUCUUCAGACAUCUCAUCUUGCACAAGGAAUGUCCCAGGAAGGGGCCCGCAGCCGUGCAGACACAACGAACCCAGAGCCACAGAACGUGGAGGAUCAUCUCCAAAUGAAAAUGGAUACUCUACACCUAAACAAACAUUUUCUCAGGCUCUUGGAAAAAUACAACAGGGAAAAAAAGAUUACAAAAAAUGUACCUGACAUUCUUUUAGCUAUAUUGACAUAGCUCACGCCAUCCAAAUGCUUUGGAGAAAAUCCAACCACCUCUUAUUUCAGUGGCUAAGCACUGAACAAUGGCAACAACUCCCUUGUUGCCUCAGUACACUGUUUUCAAAGAAAACAGGAAUGUUAUUGCUCUGGUUUACUCGAAAGAAGAGAUUUACUCUGCCCCAGAAAGUAAAUAAGGAGUCUAUCUACAAGUGCAUAUGUUUGUUUUGCAAAUACAGAGCACUCUGGCUUACCUCCUGUAAAUCAGCUACACUUGCAUUUUAAUAGGCACUUAUGUGCAUCGCAGGACCAAGACCAGAGCGCUCAGUACCUCGCGGUAUCAGCUCAAAGAGCCAGCACCUUUUCGAGGAAUACUUGACAGCUUUUUCUUCUACUGAAUUUCAGGCAACACCAGCACUGACUUCUCCAAAGCACUUGGGCAACUAGUCACUAUCAGUUCUGACAGCAACAGAGAGAAAUGUUUUUUGAAAAAGUAAGAAGCAAAUGGGGCUCUACUGCUGCUAAAUCCACAUAAGGGAGGGCAGGAAACUGCCCCUGAAAAUAAAACGCUUGUUAUUGCUCUCAUGGACACGUCAGUGUGUAAAAUAUCAGAGCUCAUACAUGGAUGUUUAAGGAGUGAGGGUAACAGUUCUUAUACAAUUCUAAAAUGUAAAAUAAGGUUUCUGAAGUGUGAGACAUUAACACUAAUUAAGAAUUAUAAUCAUAUUUGUAAACAAAGAUUAAACAACACCAUGGCAGUA